rnacentral:rRNA from 1 species
AAAUUGAAGAGUUUGAUCAUGGCUCAGAUUGAACGCUGGCGGCAGGCCUAACACAUGCAAGUCGAACGGUAACAGGAAGCAGCUUGCUGCUUUGCUGACGAGUGGCGGACGGGUGAGUAAUGUCUGGGAAACUGCCUGAUGGAGGGGGAUAACUACUGGAAACGGUGGCUAAUACCGCAUAACGUCGCAAGACCAAAGAGGGGGACCUUCGGGCCUCUUGCCAUCAGAUGUGCCCAGAUGGGAUUAGCUUGUUGGUGAGGUAACGGCUCACCAAGGCGACGAUCCCUAGCUGGUCUGAGAGGAUGACCAGCCACACUGGAACUGAGACACGGUCCAGACUCCUACGGGAGGCAGCAGUGGGGAAUAUUGCACAAUGGGCGCAAGCCUGAUGCAGCCAUGCCGCGUGUAUGAAGAAGGCCUUCGGGUUGUAAAGUACUUUCAGCGGGGAGGAAGGUGUUGUGGUUAAUAACCACAGCAAUUGACGUUACCCGCAGAAGAAGCACCGGCUAACUCCGUGCCAGCAGCCGCGGUAAUACGGAGGGUGCAAGCGUUAAUCGGAAUUACUGGGCGUAAAGCGCACGCAGGCGGUCUGUCAAGUCGGAUGUGAAAUCCCCGGGCUCAACCUGGGAACUGCAUUCGAAACUGGCAGGCUUGAGUCUUGUAGAGGGGGGUAGAAUUCCAGGUGUAGCGGUGAAAUGCGUAGAGAUCUGGAGGAAUACCGGUGGCGAAGGCGGCCCCCUGGACAAAGACUGACGCUCAGGUGCGAAAGCGUGGGGAGCAAACAGGAUUAGAUACCCUGGUAGUCCACGCCGUAAACGAUGUCUACUUGGAGGUUGUGCCCUUGAGGCGUGGCUUCCGGAGCUAACGCGUUAAGUAGACCGCCUGGGGAGUACGGCCGCAAGGUUAAAACUCAAAUGAAUUGACGGGGGCCCGCACAAGCGGUGGAGCAUGUGGUUUAAUUCGAUGCAACGCGAAGAACCUUACCUGGUCUUGACAUCCACGGAAUUUUCAGAGAUGAGAAUGUGCCUUCGGGAACCGUGAGACAGGUGCUGCAUGGCUGUCGUCAGCUCGUGUUGUGAAAUGUUGGGUUAAGUCCCGCAACGAGCGCAACCCUUAUCCUUUGUUGCCAGCGGUUAGGCCGGGAACUCAAAGGAGACUGCCAGUGAUAAACUGGAGGAAGGUGGGGAUGACGUCAAGUCAUCAUGGCCCUUACGACCAGGGCUACACACGUGCUACAAUGGCGCAUACAAAGAGAAGCGACCUCGCGAGAGCAAGCGGACCUCAUAAAGUGCGUCGUAGUCCGGAUUGGAGUCUGCAACUCGACUCCAUGAAGUCGGAAUCGCUAGUAAUCGUGGAUCAGAAUGCCACGGUGAAUACGUUCCCGGGCCUUGUACACACCGCCCGUCACACCAUGGGAGUGGGUUGCAAAAGAAGUAGGUAGCUUAACCUUCGGGAGGGCGCUUACCACUUUGUGAUUCAUGACUGGGGUGAAGUCGUAACAAGGUAACCGUAGGGGAACCUGCGGUUGGAUCACCUCCUUACCUUAAAGAA